GGGUGAGUAACGCGUGGGUAACCUGCCUUAUACAGGGGGAUAACAGUCGGAAACGACUGCUAAUACCGCAUAAGCGCACAGUAUCGCAUGAUACAGUGUGAAAAGAUUUAUCGGUAUAAGAUGGACCCGCGUCUGAUUAGCUAGUUGGUGAGGUAACGGCCCACCAAGGCGACGAUCAGUAGCCGGCCUGAGAGGGUGAACGGCCACAUUGGGACUGAGACACGGCCCAAACUCCUACGGGAGGCAGCAGUGGGGAAUACUGCACAAUGGGGGAAACCCUGAUGCAGCGACGCCGCGUGAGUGAAGAAGUAUUUCGGUAUGUAAAGCUCUAUCAGCAGGGAAGAAAAUGACGGUACCUGACUAAGAAGCCCCGGCUAACUACGUGCCAGCAGCCGCGGUAAUACGUAGGGGGCAAGCGUUAUCCGGAUUUACUGGGUGUAAAGGGAGCGUAGACGGGAUGGCAAGUCUGAUGUGAAACCCCGGGGCUCAACCCCGGGCAUGCAUUGGAAACUGUUAACCUAGAGUGUCGGAGAGGUAGGUGGAAUUCCUAGUGUAGCGGUGAAAUGCGUAGAUAUUAGGAGGAACACCGGUGGCGAAGGCGGCUUACUGGACGAUAACUG
rnacentral:rRNA from 1 species